CGCUUGCGUUUUCCUUGUGGUUUCCGUGGGACCAUAUUUACUGCGUUUUUUUGUUUUUUGUUUUUUUUUUUUUUGGCCGUCGUUUACUUCGAGUGAUUUUAUUCUGGUAAUUUUAUCAUUUCGGCAGCGUGGCCGGGGUGGGAGCUGCCGUGAUGCCACAUAAUAGCGAGCGACAGAGGCAAUCACUCCCAUUUGAAAUCAGUGUACUUAAAAAAUUAACAUGCAGGAGACGGAGGCGUUACAGGGAAGGGACGGUGUUGCCAAAUAACACACCUAUUUCGGCUGAUCCCUGCUGCUUUUCAAGUGUCGCUGAGUGAAUGUGAUCAACAAUAACAAUAAAUAAUCGAAGUCAGCGCCUUUGGACGCCCUGACGGCCGCACGGGAGCUUUGCCGCCCGCAGGUUGUCUGCUGCAGGAUUUAAAACUCGGGUGCUAGGCGGGUGUCGAGUUCAAGAUCAGCGCCGACAUUUCAGGGGUGAAAACGCUCCGAAAGCCGCACAUGUACAAACAUGCCCCGCUCCUCGCCGCGCCUCGGCGGGGGGACGCAGCCCGGCUGCCAAGCGGGGCUUCUCCGAGGGGAAAAAUAACGAGGAAUCGGUCUGUUUGUUAACUCGCUUCCUCUGCCCGGGAACAGACCUACUUCCCCUUCGCUAGCCCCCUCCAAGGCGGGGGUCGCUGCUCUUCGGCUCCGCAGCGGGGUGGCGAAGGCCCCCGGCGGGUCCCGCCCGAGCCCCGCGGCCGGCUGCGCGCUUCCUACGCCCGUGAGCUCAUCUGCGGCCAGGACGUUGCUCUUGGGGCAGAUCCUGCCGAAGGAAAAAGGACCCUGCAGCCCAGGACCAGCGCGGCGGGGCCAGGGCGAGGGCGCCCAGAGGCUGCCGGGGGAGGCGGAGGCGGCCCCGGGCAGGGGACACUGCUCUGCCCCCGGGCAGGGGGACACGGCUCCUGCUCCUCUCGUUGCCUUCAGCUGCCUCCUGCCCGGCUGAACCCGACCGCUGGCCCGGGCAGGCUCUCACACUUGGGAAGUUUGCGAAGUUUCGGGAGAGGGGAAGUUGCCUCCGGCCCUUCACUAAAAGCAAAACGAAACUCGGCCGCAGCCACCGCAGCUGCAGCAACACUGGAGGUUUUGGGUUUUAGCAGCGUCGGGCUCGUUUAGGAGAAGGACCGAGCGGGAGGUGCCUCCAAGCGAGGUGCCAACACGCAGAUCGGCGUUUUCUUCCCUUCCCUCUCGCGUAUCGAUUUCAGCCGCUCGCUUUCAGCACGGCGCUGAACGCCAUUUAGGCCGGGAUUGGGGUAUAAUGGAAAUACCAUCAGGAGACAAUUACCUUUCCAGAGUAUUCACUUCUCCUCACAGACACUGUUAUUUGAGAAAUAGGAUCAUUUGAUUUCAUAUUGCACUAAAUAACACCCAGCCGUCUCAAAUUGCCAGCUUCUUAAAAGCCACCCAUUGGAAUAAAUUGCAGAGCGACUCUUUUGGCUCUGGUUUUUUUUCUUUCCUUUUUUUUUUCUUUGCAAAACAAUAUCAUGUGAAUCGGGAAUAAGUCGAAAAGAGAGAGGAAAGCGGCGAGAAGAUAGAAAGCAGGCGCCCGGGGCCUGGCUAGGGAGCGGGGCCGGCACCGCCGCGUCCCCCUCCGCGUCCUCCCCCCCGUCCCCCUCCUCGUCCCCCUUCCCGUCCCUCCCCCCCCGUCCCCCUCCCCGUCCCCUCUCCGCUCCCGGCGCAGAGGCUGCGGACAGACGUUUCCUGCACGAGCUGCAGCCGGAGACGCGGCGCCGAUGCGCUGGGUUUGUUAAUUGGCACUUGAAGCGCUAAGCCCGAUAUGCGCGAUUUUGCAAGUGUUUCCUUUCUUUUUUCGUGCAUUCCCCCCCCCCCCCCCUUUUUUUAAAAAGCAAGAUUUUACCCCUUCUUGCUUUGGUCCCCGGAUGCCAAGGUGCGAUGUUCCUUUAAGGCUCUCAGUGCGCGCUUGCUAAUCUGGUCAUCACAGACUUAAUUAUAUCGGUAUUAAUGUCAUCCUCGGAUUGCUAAUUAGAUUUGCUGGAUAAAUGAAAUUAUACGAAUAUGCUGUGUACGCGAGGAGUAAGGCGGGGGGGGGGGGCGAAAUCUCCAAACACUUACCAGGAUUUAAGAUAACGCGGGACUCUGGUCCCCUGCCUAUUGCUUCGCUUUAACCUUCGCCCAGCCGCGGGGAGGGAAACCGGGCUGCAAAGCGGCCGCAGAGCCGCGAAACGCCGCGGCCGCGCAGCCUGCGCGGUGCUGCCGCGGGCCCCGGGCGCUUCCCCGCGGCGGGGGGCUCCGUUUGCCGAGAAAAGACACGAGCGAGCACAGCCGACGAGGUGUUUUUUUUUUUUUUCCCAAGCCGGUUUAUUUUGGUUAAGCUGGAGCUCUGCGGGAUUCCACCCCCCCCGGGAGGGAAGCACCCCCAGAAAAGCGGGGCUUGCCCGCCGUCCUGCACCGCAGCCCGAGAGUUUGCCGGCGCCCUGGAGCGCUGGAGCGGCUGCGGGGAAAUCGGCGGGGGGUCGGGUUGUUUUGCCCCCCUUUUCUCCCCGGUGCCGCGGCCCUGCGCCCUGCGGCGGGGCCGGGACUCGCGGCCGCCGUGUCCUAAUCGUGUUCCCUUCCAACAGACACUAAUCAAGUAAUUUCCCAAUCCCAGCCCCAUCAAAUUGCUCUUUAGCUGUUGAACUGUGGAGUUUUGCUCCUCUUUUCUCAUGCUAAUCAAGCCCAUUCAGGAUCUCUCUGUGAGGCUAUUUGUAGUGGAAUAAAUCUCCUUGUUUGCCUGCUGCAUGAUUAAUUGA